rnacentral:misc_RNA from 1 species
CGGGUGAGCUGUUCGCGCUCGCGUUCCGUUCCGACAACGACACCUACAUCGACAAGCAGUGAAAAUCAAGAAGAAUAGAAAAUUAAAAGAAAAACCGGGAAGAAAAAGAAAAAUAUACAGUGGUGCUGAAAUCAAAUACGGCCAGCAAAAUUGGCAUUUAGCGAGCUUCAAGCCAACUGAAUUAUGUCGGGCGACGUACAGCCACGAAAGCGUAAGGAUAAGCGCAAAAGACGUGAUGAUCGCAAAUCGGAGGGCGAUGUCACCAUACUGCGCCAGUCCAGCUUUCAAGAUGACGACGACUCGUCUUCCCACGGCGUGCAUAUCACAAAGAUGGGAAACGAUGAUGUGCACUUGCACGUGCAGCAUCAACAUGGAACUGGGGGGCACUGGUGUGCCAAGAUUAUAUUCUUCUCCCUAAUGGCUGUGCUGCUAGGACUGGUGGGUCUGAUAAUAAUGGAAAAUCGUGGCAUAGAGGACUUGGAUACACCCCUGUCGGAGUCACGUUAUUCGAAUUAUUUUGAUGGCUGGGUGGAGGAGCAUCGUGCGGAGGAGCACGAUGAACACGAUGAACAUCUCUCACAUGAAGCUGCACUGGAUGAACAUGAUGAUGAACACGAUGAUGAAGUAGAAGAGCCAUACGAACAGCAUUCUGGCGAAGAAGAGGAAACAGAGCAAGAACACGACGAAGACGCGAAUGAUGAAGAUGACGAGGAAGAGGAAGAGAAUACUGCUGCUGAAAAUGUAACAGCUGAGGAUGAUGAAGAAAAGGAUGAGGAUGAUGACAUAGCAGAGUCAGCAGACCGAACUCAAUACUUGGCCGAUGAUGCUGAAGAGGAGGAAGAAGAAGCUGAUGAGGAGGAGGAGGAGGAGGAUGCAGAUGGUGACAUUGAAGAGUCCAUUGAGCCAAUCGCAUCCAAGUCAAGAGCUCAGAGUGCGCCCGAAACAGUUGAAGAAGAUGAUGAUAAUAUUGAGGAGGAAGAGGAGGAGGAGGAUGAAGAGGAAGAGCAAGCGGAAUCUGUUGAGCCAACAAUUUCAAAAUCUCAGGCUGCUGAUGAUGAUGAUGAGCAGGAUAAUGAUGAGGAUGCUGCGGAAGAGGAGGAUGAAAAGCUUGAAGAAUCUGCGGAGCCAGCAGCACAAAGUGUUCCUGAUGAUGAUGAUGACGAUGAAUUCGAGCAGGCUGACAAUGAUGAAGAUGAAUUCGAAUCCCUCGAUCAAGAUGUCGAUACUCAGGCUGAGCAGCUAAAAGCCAAGGAAGCGAAAGAUCAGGCAGCUGAAGAGAACAUUGAGGCAGUUACAACCACAUCCUGGCUGGGCUCACUUGCCGUUAAAUUUGGCGUUGGCAUUGCACUUGCCCUUGUUUCACGCCUUGUAUUGAUACGGAAUAAUCCAAAUACAAUCAAAGCUUUGUUAAAACUCUUAAACAAUAUGCGCCAAUCCGAUGAGCAGCAGCCGACGCCGGAGAUUCAAAUGAGACGCCGCUUGACCAUUGCCACAGCCGAGGAUCAUAUACCCGAUGAUGAUACGGAGGAGCUGCCGCCGUUAGAUGAUGAGGCGUAUUCGGAGGAAGAAAUCGAGAUCGAGGAGGAAAUCGAGGUAGAGACCAGCGAUAUAGAGGAGUGCGAUGAUAAUGUUGCUCUAACAGCCAGAUAUGUGCCGGAGACUUUCGAGCAGCUGAGUGCCAUGUUCCGGCCCAAAACGGAGUCGCAGCCAAGCGAGAAGGAGUCAGAGAAAGAGCCGGAGCCGCAACCGAAACCGGAGGUGGAAGCAGAGCGAGAACCGGAAACUGAACCAGAAGCCGAAGGAACAGCUGCCUCAGAUAUUUAUGUGGAAUACGAGGAUGGAGACAUUGAGGAUUACGAACACGACGACAGCGAGGAUGAUGAUGAAUUGAUCAGCGAUGAGGAGGAGGAUGAAAUCUCCGAUGUGGAUGAUGCUGACCUAAUGAGCCGCUUGGAGGCCAAAUAUGGCCGAUUGCCAGCCAAGGAAUACGAAAGCAAUCCUGAUUCCGACGAUCCGUCCUGGACACAAAUUAAACCUAAAGAACCAACUGGAGCCAAGUUUGUUGAGGACGAGCUAUUCGAGCAAGAGCUGCGCCGAGCUCAAGCCGAAAUGAUCAAUGAGAACCAUGCGAAUGCUCUGCGCGCCUUUAACACGCUCACACACACAUACGCACACAAGCCGUUGGCUCAUUUAAGGCGGGCGCAGGCGCUGGAACGGAUCGCCGAGCUGCGCCGCAGCAAUCAGCUGCUUAUGGACGCCAUUGAGUCCUAUAAGCGUUAUUUGGCUUUCGAUGAAUCGAUAACAAAUAUCGACUAUCGCACAGCUGGCGAACGUUGCAUAGAGCAUAUGCGGUUUCUGGACACAGCCGGCGGUUGCCAUACACGAGCUGCUCAUCGAGCGUUAUCCGGAUGAGGUGCAGCUGCGCAAUCAGCUAUCGCUUACCUAUCUAAUGUCCAAUAAGUGGUUUGCUUAAGCUGCAGCAGGUCUCGCGCGAUACGCUCAAGCGCUGGCCACGGGAUCCCUUGGCGCAGCUGCACUUUGGCCUGACGCUCAAAC